AUUCUACUUCGUGGGAGUAUCAUUGCCAAUGAUGUUUAUCUGAGAAGUGAUUAUUGCUAAUUGAAAACUUUUUCCAAUACCCAUCCAUGACGACUUGAAAUAAGAUCCCAACUAAAAUUUUAACAGAAAUCCACAGGAU